UACGGGGGGGGGCAAGCGUUGUUCGGAAUUACUGGGCGUAAAGGGCUCGUAGGCGGCCAACUAAGUCAGACGUGAAAUCCCUCGGCUUAACCGGGGAACUGCGUCUGAUACUGGAUGGCUUGAAUCCGGGAGAGGGAUGCGGAAUUCCAGGUGUAGCGGUGAAAUGCGUAGAUAUCGGGAGGAACACCAGUGGCGAAGGCGACUUCCUGGCCUGUUCUUGACGCUGAGGCGCGAAAGCUAGGGGAGCAAACGGGG
rnacentral:rRNA from 1 species